UACAGAGGGGGCAAGCGUUGUUCGGAAUUACUGGGCGUAAAGGGCGCGUAGGCGGCCUGCUAAGUCGAACGUGAAAUCCCUGGGCUCAACCCAGGAACUGCGUCCGAUACUGGAUGGCUUGAGUGUGGGAGAGGGAUGCGGAAUUCCAGGUGUAGCGGUGAAAUGCGUAGAUAUCUGGAGGAACACCGGUGGCGAAGGCGGCAUCCUGGACCACGACUGACGCUGAGUGAGCGAAAGCCAGGGGAGCAAACGGG
rnacentral:rRNA from 1 species